rnacentral:piRNA from 1 species
AAGGAGGAGGAGCUCAAAGUGGCCCAGACG